rnacentral:rRNA from 1 species
UACGUAGGGCGCAAGCGUUGUUCGGAAUUACUGGGCGUAAAGCGCACGUAGGCGGAUAUUUAAGUCAGGGGUGAAAUCCCGGGGCUCAACCCCGGAACUGCCUUUGAUACUGGGUAUCUCGAGUCCGAGAGAGGUGAGUGGAAUUCCGAGUGUAGAGGUGAAAUUCGUAGAUAUUCGGAGGAACACCAGUGGCGAAGGCGGCUCACUGGCUCGGUACUGACGCUGAGGUGCGAAAGCGUGGGGAGCAAACAGG